GUCCCGGUUGCAGAGAUCCUGGUGCUGGGCACGGGGGACAGGGUGGAGCGGCUCCACUCUGGCAUGCUGAAGCAGAUGCGGGAGUGCGGGAUCGCUGUGGAGGUACAGGACACGCCAAAUGCAUGUGCAACCUUCAACUUCCUAGUGAGUGAAAAGCGUAUUGUGGCUGCUGGGCUCAUCCCUCCACAGGGCACCUACCAGGGGAUGUAGGCACUGCCUGCCACGGCUGUGGGCUCUGUGGGGCUGCCCCUGCCUGCCUGAAGCCCCCGAGGGUCACCGCUCCCCAGGGAGACGUGCUUCAGACUGGACUGUGGAGCUACUGGGUGGGUGGUGGCUCUGCACACAGGAGGGCUGUGAGAUGGGUGGGCUUGGUUCUGGCCU